AGGCCGACUUCAAUCAGUUGGCCGAGCUGGACCGCCAGAUCAAGAGCUUCAGUGUAGCCUCCAACCCCUACACCUGGUUCACCAUGGAGGCCCUGGAGGAGACCUGGAGGAACCUACAGAAAAUCAUCAAGGAGAGGGAGCUGGAGCUGCAGAAGGAACAGCGGCGGCAGGAGGAGAACGACAAGCUGCGCCAGGAGUUUGCCCAGCACGCCAAUGCCUUCCACCAGUGGAUCCAAGAGACCAGGACAUACCUCCUCGAUGGGUCCUGCAUGGUGGAAGAGUCGGGGACCCUCGAAUCCCAGCUUGAAGCUACCAAACGCAAGCACCAGGAAAUCUGAGCCAUGAGAAGUCAGCUCAAAAAGAUUGAGGACCUGGGGGCCGCCAUGGAGGAAGCCCUCGUCCUGGACAACAAGUACACGGAGCACAGCACCGUGGGCCUGGCCCAGCAGUGGGACCAGCUGGACCAGCUGGGCAGUGCGCAUGCAGCACAACCUGGAGCAGCAGAUCCAGGCCAGGAAUACAACAGGUGUGACUGAGGAGGCCCUCAAAGAAUUCAGCAUGAUGUUUAAACACUUUGACAAGGACAAGUCUGGCAGGCUGAACCAUCAGGAGUUCAAAUCUUGCCUGCGCUCCCUGGGCUAUGACCUGCCCAUGGUGGAGGAAGGGGAACCUGACCCUGAGUUCGAGGCAAUCCUGGACACGGUGGAUCCCAACAGAGAUGGCCACGUCUCCCUGCAAGAAUACAUGGCUUUCAUGAUCAGCCGUGAAACCGAGAACGUCAAGUCCAGCGAGGAGAUCGAGAGCGCCUUCCGGGCCCUCAGCUCAGAGGGAAAGCCUUAUGUGACCAAGGAGGAACUCUACCAGAACCUGACCCGGGAACAAGCCGACUACUGCGUCUCCCACAUGAAGCCCUACGUGGACGGCAAGGGCCGGGAGCUCCCCACUGCGUUCGACUACGUGGAGUUCACCCGCUCGCUCUUUGUGAACUGAGCCGCUCCCUGGGUCACCCGCCCCUCGCUGCCUGCCCCGCGUCGCCUUGCUGCAUGUCUGCUCCUCUGUGCUCUCACUUUCCACUGUAACCUUAAGCCUGCUUAGCUUGGAAUAAGACUUAGUAGAAAAUGGUGCUUCACUAACCCGCUUCCGGUCCAGUCACAAUCACUAUGUCACUGUGGGGACCCAGAUCCACGUCUUGAAGCAGCUGCCCUCAUUCCGACUUCAGAAAAUCAAAGCAGCUGGCUCUUCCCCUUGUUCUCCCGCCCUCCCCCAAAUCUGUUUCAUGUAAAAGACAAAUAAACGAUGACUUCCCCCAAAAAAA